rnacentral:rRNA from 1 species
AUGCUUAAGGGGAAAAAGAUUGAUGCAUUUUUCAAAAGAAAGAGAGGUGAUUCAGUUGAUGAACCAACAGCAACCGAAGCAAUGCCUAUUCAGCCAACGGACUGUGUUCAACCUCCUCUGUUGUUGCUCGAAUUUGAGCAACACGGACCACAUCCUUCAAUGCCUCAACACCAAGGACAAAGCCAUCAAACUCAAACAAAUGAAGUACUAUUUCAAGGGAUUGAAUUCUUGCAGCGAGAUCCAGCACUACGUCCACAGAUUUGGCAAUAUCCACCUAAUCAAAGAGAUGAUGUGCGGCGAGCAUAUUUGAAGCUUGGUAUUAUGCAGCCCCGUUUGCAGAAUUACAAAGCCUAUGGUCCAGAAGGUCGCAAACGAUGCUUUAAGUAUGACUGGUUCAAGGAUUUCCCAUCAUGGUUGGAGUACUCGGAGGACAGUCAUCGUGCAUAUUGCUUCUAUUGUUUCUUGUUCGGCAAAAACAAAAACAAGAGAGAUGGUUCAGAUGUCUUUACAGUGCGAGGAUUUGUAAACUGGAAGAAGGUCCAUGAUGGAAAGAAAUGUGCUUUCUUAAACCACAUAGGUUCUGAACCUUGCUCUGAACAUAAUAAUGCAACCAAAGCAUGCCAUGACUUCUUGAAUCAGCAAGGCCAUUUAGAAAAUGUUGUAGCAGUGGGCAACUAG